rnacentral:rRNA from 1 species
GACGAACGCUGGCGGCGUGCUUAACACGUGCAAGUCGAACGGAAAGGCCCUGCUUUUGUGGGGUGCUCGAGUGGCGAACGGGUGAGUAACACGUGAGUAACCUGCCCUUGACUUUGGGAUAACUUCAGGAAACUGGGGCUAAUACCGGAUAGGAGCUCCUGCUGCAUGGUGGGGGUUGGAAAGUUUCGGCGGUUGGGGAUGGACUCGCGGCUUAUCAGCUUGUUGGUGGGGUAGUGGCUCACCAAGGCUUUGACGGGUAGCCGGCCUGAGAGGGUGACCGGCCACAUUGGGACUGAGAUACGGCCCAGACUCCUACGGGAGGCAGCAGUGGGGAAUAUUGCACAAUGGGCGGAAGCCUGAUGCAGCAACGCCGCGUGCGGGAUGACGGCCUUCGGGUUGUAAACCGCUUUCGCCUGUGACGAAGCGUGAGUGACGGUAAUGGGUAAAGAAGCACCGGCUAACUACGUGCCAGCCGCCGCCGUAA